rnacentral:tRNA from 1 species
GGGCCCGUAGCUUAGCAAGGCAGAGCGACGGGCUCUUAACCCGUAGGUCGCGGGUUCAAUUCCCGCCGGGCCCGCCA